rnacentral:rRNA from 1 species
AGCAGCCGCGGUAAUUCCAGCUCCAAUAGCGUAUAUUAAAGUUGUUGCAGUUAAAAAGCUCGUAGUUGAAUUUCGGGAUCAGUACGCUGGUCAUGCCUUUGGUAUGCACUGGUGUCACUGGUUUCUCCCUUCUGAAGAUCCGUGAUGUCAUUAAUUUGGUGUCGCGGGGAAUCAGGACUGUUACUUUGAAAAAAUUGAGUGUUUAAAGCAGGCUCACGCUUGAAUACAUUAGCAUGGAAUAAUGAAAUAGGACGUUUGACCCUAUUUUGUUGGUUUCUAGGAUCGACGUAAUGAUUAAUAGGGAUAGUUGGGGGCAUUAGUAUUCAAUUGUCAGAGGUGAAAUUCUUAGGAUUUAUUGAAGACUAACUACUGCGAAAGCA